UUUUCGCAAUGCCCGAAAGGGUGACGAAGCGACGCCGCGUGGGUGAGGAAGGCCUUCGGGUUGUAAAGCCCUGUCAGGAGUUAAGAAAUGUAGGUGCGCUAAUACCGCAUUUAUUUGACGAAGGCUCUAAAGGAAGCCACGGCUAACUCUGUGCCAGCAGCCGCGGUAAUACAGAGGUGGCAAGCGUUGUUCGGAAUUAUUGGGCGUAAAGAGCACGUAGGUGGGUUUGUAAGUCAGAUGUGAAAGCCUUCUGUUCAACGGAAGAAUUGCAUCUGAAACUGCGAAUCUUGAGUGUAGGAGGGGAGAAUGGAACUUCUGGUGGAGCGGUGAAAUGCGUAGAUAUCAGAAGGAACGCCGGCGGCGAAAGCGAUUCUCUGGCCUAUUACUGACACUCAGUGUGCGAAAGCUAGGGGAGCAAACGGGAUUAGAUACCCCGGUAGUCCUAGCCGUAAACGAUGGGCACUAAGUAGAGGGGUU
rnacentral:rRNA from 1 species